UCGAGAAUCUUGGGCAAUGGGCGCAAGCCUGAUCCAGCAAUGCCGCGUGCAGGAUGAAGACCUUCGGGUUGUAAACUGCUUUUGUACGGAACGAAAAGCUUCUGGUUAAUACCUGGGAGUCAUGACGGUACCGUAAGAAUAAGCACCGGCUAACUACGUGCCAGCAGCCGCGGUAAUACGUAGGGUGCGAGCGUUAAUCGGAAUUACUGGGCGUAAAGCGUGCGCAGGCGGUUAUGUAAGACAGAGGUGAAAUCCCCGGGCUCAACCUGGGAACUGCCUUUGUGACUGCAUGGCUAGAGUGCGGCAGAGGGGGAUGGAAUUCCGCGUGUAGCAGUGAAAUGCGUAGAUAUGCGGAGGAACACCGAUGGCGAAGGCAAUCCCCUGGGCCUGCACUGACGCUCAUGCACGAAAGCGUGGGGAGCAAACA
rnacentral:rRNA from 1 species